ACUGCUUAUCUUUAUUUUCCCUUUUGCACUGAUACAAACAGACAUGGAGAAAGGAGGCAUCCAACAGCACCAUCUCCAGAUAAAGAAGCAACGCUGAAUGAUUCCUUCAAAGUGAAAGUGUUUCAGAGAACCUGCUGCUUUCGCUUUUAGAAGGAACAAGUAAUUCAAUCUUUAGAGAUACAUUCAGUGGAAAAUCAUAAUUUAGUUAAAGUUUGAAGGACUUCCUGAACUCACUAGGGUAAGAGUAGGUGGGGAAUAGGGGUCUGUUAUGGGUUCGCGUCCUCUCAAAAUAUACAUGUUGGCAUUCUAACCUCCAGUACUUAAUUUGAAAUAGGAUCUUUACAGAAUAAUCAAGUUAAAAUGAUGUCAUUAGUGUGGGUUCUAAUCCAAUAUUACUGCUGUCCUUACAAAAAAAAAGGGGGGUGGGAAUUUUGACACAGAAAUAGACACACAUAGAGGGAAGAUAAUUUGAAGAGACACAGGGGCCAGGGGCAGUGGCUCACACUUGUGAGAUCAGCUUGGGCAACAUAGGUAGACCGCAUCUCUACCAUAUAUUAAAAAAUCAGCUGGGUAUGGUGGUGCAUGCCUGUGGCCCCAGCUACUCAAAGGGCUGAGGCAAGAGGAUCACUUGAGCCCAUGAGGUCAAGGCUGCAGUGAGUCACUUUCAUGCCAAUACACUCUGCCUGCUGACAGAACAAGGCCCUGUCUCAAAAGAGAGAGACAGAGAGAGAAGAUGAUCAUCUACCAGUCAAGUACAGAGGCCCAGAACAGAUUCUCCUCACAGCCCUCGGAAGGAAACAACCCUGUAAAGAACCCAUAUGAGCUGUUGGCUAGACAGUGGGCAGAGACAGGGAGCUCAAUGCCCCCAGGAAAGAGCAGCGGAUUCCCACUCUUGGCACCAGAGGGUCCACAUGUUCUGAGUGGAGGCCUGAUGCUGUCAUCAACAGAGCAGCCACUUCAGCCCAUGGUAGCCAGACCUGCCCAGCAUUCUUGAGAAUCCAGGCUCUCUACGGUUAUAUUUCUUAUGAAAACUCAAUGGAUUGGAGAUCUGGUUUACACUUGAGUCUGAUGAGAGAAGUGUGUGUCUGCUCUAGAGAGAGAAAAAGCCAUCUCUUAAUGUGUUGACCCAAUCUUCUCUAAGCCUGCCAGCCUGGGGCCUGGAAAAUUCUCCAAGGUAAGCUAUCCUAGGAGGCCCCUAGAGACACCACCUGUCUACAAAAGACCCUCUGCUAUGCCUAGCCAAGUGAGGACAGAGAAUCAGAGGGAUGUAGAGCUCCUCGAUGAGCCAGUAGUUAGUGACCCAGAUCCUUCCACCCUAUGUCUGUGCUGACCAGUGGGGUACACAGUAGCGUACACGAAUGGUGCGAUCCCUUGGACCAUUCUUUUGGAAGACAAAGAGUGGAGCCAGUCAAGAGGCAGAAGAAGAGGUCAAGAAGAACCUGAAAGACCAUUCUGGCCCCUCAUGAACUGUCUCAGACUGAGUGAU
rnacentral:lncRNA from 13 species